AUGAGGCUACAGGCUGCUGCGCGCGGCCUCUUAGCGCGUCGGCUUGUGCGGGAGAUGCGUGGUCUGCAGCUGCCGCUCCUCCAAGUUGCCCUUCGCCGCACAAACGACCUCGAUCUCGUCCGCUGCUUCAGGGAUCUUGGGCAUGCGGUUUCCCCCACGGGCGGCGGGCAUGUUGUUUUCCCCGCGGGCAGUGACAUCAAAGUCUGCGACACCGGGGGUUGGGGGGACGCAUCCCUCCUCGUCAUUCUCCAUCGCAAGCCCUCCACUCUUCCCUGUGCAGUGCAGACCAACAGCCGUCCGGCGGGGAGAAGGCAGGGUGUCACCGAUAGGAGCGCACCGCAUAGCACCACUGCUUACCGCCGCCGGUCGCCGCAAGGGCGCUUCUGCUGGUCGCUCUUGCGACCAUUUCCAGGUGGCCAUACACAUCCACUCCUUUGGUCCAUGUGGUGUCCAUGGGAUCCAGGUGGCUGUACAUGUGCACGUCCGACGUGCGGAUGGUGUCUACUUUUUGUUGAGGGGUCCAAAAUAAAGCGUCCAAGUCCAUUUCAAAUUGAGAGUAAUAAAACAAGUCGAGAUGUAAAAGACUUGUUUUUAGGUGUUAGGUUUGUGUUGCAUCAAGUCAUGAUUAUAAAUUGGUUAGGCUGCAGCUCGAGGACAAGUUGCAUGUCCAGGUGGGGUGUAGUGUUAGAGUACGUAAUGGCCUAA
rnacentral:rRNA from 1 species